GCCCUUUAAGCCCCUCUCUCUCUCCCUCCCCCAUCUCUCUCUCCCCCUCCAUCUCUCUCCUUCAAGAAUUCAUAGUCAGAUCACUGAAGAGGAUUUAUGUAAGCCCCAACAUGGGUUCUUUGUAUAUACACUUAUUGAGCAAAGCUGGUGCUGAAUUUUUCAUGGGUAAUAACUUACAGUUCAUACAGUGUAUCUGAAUCAGUUGUUUCAAGAUUUAAUUUUUAUGAUGUUUUUAUGUUUGGGGUUUGUUGGAUUGAGCUGAUUCAGUUGUUGGUAUGUUGGAUAAUGAUGAAUUGUGG